GUGCUGGCAUCCUAUAAACAAGAAGCAGAGAACAGAUUUUCAGAGGACGUGGAAUUUACAGCAUGAACUACGUUUGUACGUCUUUCAGAGGCUGAAGCCCCAUUGAGAGGCCUUUUUUGGUUUGGAGCUAUGAACUGAGAGCUGAAAAUGUCCUUUCGACAGUGAGAAGCCAAAAACAAAAGAACAGAGACUAGACCUAAAAGUUAAUUGCAGAUUGGUUCUUGAUCAAAAGGAUUUUACAGAUUCUUCACAACACUGGGGACAGCACUAUGUUUAACCGGAUAGCAGACGUGUGGCUAUUAACGAGGUCAUUACCUGGAAAUUAGUGCUAGCAAGUGUGCAAAGGAACAUGAUGGUAAAACAGAGAGUUGCUGUGAUUGGGAAUGCACUGCCUGGACAGAUGAUCGCAGCAGAGUCAUGAACACCAUUCAAUGGUGAGAAGUAUUUCAAGAGGGAAAAAUUUGGAUGUCGAGGAAAGAAUGAAGAAAAAAUUAGAAGCAAAAUACUGCAGAUGCUGGAAAUCUGAAACAAACACAGAAAAUGCUGGACAAACUCAGAAGGUCUGGCAACAUCUGUGGAGACAGAAAAAGUUAACAUUUCAAGACCAAUUGAACAAGCAGUUCUGCUGAGUUUUUCCAAGGGAGGGAGUUCAAUUGGACAGUGUCGUUCCCUCAAAAACAAGCAUUUACUGAUCUGCCUUAAGUAGCCUUUGCUCUUCCAAUAAUUUUACCAAAUUUACAAAUCUCCCCAUCAUCUACAUUUAACUCAUUAAAAACAAUGAACAACUGUGCCAAUGCACUCCCAUGACACAGCAAAGACUUUGAACUCCAAGCAAAUUCCAGACCAGUGCAAAAUAUUGCUAAGAAUACCAAAGACUUUUACAUUGCCCUUUUUGAGUGAGAAGAUUUUAGAAAUCUCCAUAGAUAUCUAUUAGCUUGGUGAUUUGACAAAAUAUAAAAUCAAAAUUAUAAGAUGAGACCUUGUAUUUUUGGAGCUACAUUGGCUGUACCUGAUAUUCCCCCUCUAUCCAAAUGGUCAUAUUUUGAUUGUCUCUAGCAUCCGACAUGAUAUAGAACAAAUUAGCCAAUAGCUGCAACCAUCUUUUAAAUUCUUCAGACUAUAUUCACCUCCUUCCAGUUGAGCAAACCCAGACUCCAAUAAACUGUUCAAGAUACAGGAAAGGGACUUGUGUAAAACAGGUCCUAGCUUCCUAAAAAUUUUUGAGUGGAAAACAUUCAAUUGGGGUAUCCUAUCCAUGUGCAAGGUUGCUAAUUCUAUCCAAAACAAUAUGUUCAUCACAAACAAAAAGAGAAAUUGUUGGAAAAACUCAGCAGGUUCGGCAGCGUUUGUGUAGGGAGAAAGUAGAUGUGAUAUUGAGUCGAGCGAUCCAUUUUCAGAACUGGAGUCAAAAAAUUAACUUUGCUUUCUCUCCACAGACACUGUCAGGCCCGCUGAGUUUCUCGAGCAGUUUAUGUUUUUAUUUCAAAUUUCCAGCAUCCACAGUUCUUUGUUGUAUUAUGAUGUUCAUUUCUAGUAUUUUGGUACUACAGAAAUUUAGCACUGCUGGAAAAAGACACAUUUUGUCAAAGUUUAUUAGCUUGCAUUCAUUUGUACAAUUUACAAGAAAUACCAAAUAAAAAAGAAAACAUCAUUUAUACUGUAUGAAAGGGAGCUCUGAUUGGUUGGCAUAUGCACUUUGAUUGGUAGAUGUAUUACCAUGAAGAAUGCACCAGCUUGUGAUGAUGAAGGUUAACAGCGAAGCUUUGUUUACAUUUUAAAGCAGGCAGGUUGACUCUGAUUGGUCAAAAUGUUGCCAUGAGAAAUGAACCAGAGGAUGGAUAUCAUCUAUUUUGUUGAGUUGAAAUAUACACAAUGUGUGUACAUGUUCUUUUUGGCUUCAUGGAACAGGGGCCUGUGUAUUAAGACAUGUACGCUCCAGUACACACAGUGUGACAUACUGCUACAAGUUUGAGCAGGAUAUGAAGUUAGUUUCACACUACAAUGAUCUUCAAGAGUAUAAAAAUAGAAACAAAACACAAAAAUAUAAUGCCCAACAGGAAUG